CCUCCAAGAUGCUCACUCUAAACGAACAUCAAUAAUAUGGAUGCCACACCAGUAGGCAAGUAUGUUCUUUUCUAUGAACUCUAGACUGAUAUUUUAGUUUUCAAGCACCACAGAAAAACUUUUUAAAAACGUUAGCCACUUAGUGCAUGUGCUAAGCAGAUUUUAAAAGAGGCCCUACCUCUACAAGGAGAGUCAGGUAUGCGUUUAAAGCCAUUUCAUGAAAUAUGGUUGCUAACCUCUGGGUUUUCUGGGGAGAUCUGAGAUUAAACACGGAGCCAACCUGUGCUGUACUAACAACAGGCAACCCAUCCAAACGGCACGGACACCUACAGGUUUCUGCAAAAGCCUUAACAGAACUACAUUUGGGCAUCGGGCUGGCGGCUCACCCUAAAUGUCCCACCAACGGCAAGAGCCAGCAACCUUUCUAUUUCAAUGCAAUUAUGGUCAGAAAUUAUAGGAUAUUAAAAAAAAAAACAGGUUCUUCCAUAAAGUUUAAGAUUUAGGGUAGAAUUAAGGAAAGACCAAAAAAUAAAAUUCCUAUGAAACAAAAAUAAUUCUACAGCGGUCUUGUUCUCCACGAAACCCUGAGAUGAACUGCAGUCCUCAAACGCCGACGCUCGGAUCUCGGUUCGCUGGGACACUUCAGUAUGCUUCAAACUGGCUCAUCAUCAACUUCCUGCUGUACUCAUAGGCCAAAAAUAGCGCCCCGUUGGCAGGGAAUGCUCGAAUCAAAGUGGGUUUCAGUCCAGAAUAUAAGGCCGUUAUUCCUAGAAGAUAAAAAGUGAUCAAAGACUCAGACAUCACGUGACACUGCGGAGCCGGGACUGGAUGCCUACAAAUCCAGACAAUGCACUACAAACCAGUACGUGAUGGCAGAGCUUCCUUCCAGGUUUCCCUGGACUAACGGGAACUAAGCAAGAACUAAACGGAAACAAGGACCAGCAUCACGUCUCCCAGCAAAGCUGGGGGAUGCUCAGACAUGGAGAGAACUUGAAUUCUGGAUUUGACGCAAUCCACUGGGUAAACAGCCAGCCAGAGGCAGAUUCCACCAACUCCACCGCUUAACAUCAAAGGGACAGGCCCUAAGCAAGGAAAUCAGCAAAGAGCAUUUUGCCUCCAGAACAGCAUUUCCAGAGUGAAAUCACAAUUAAGGAGCUGUACGAACCCAGCAAGAAUACAACGGUGUUGUACUGGCCCAGGCUUGGACCUCCCUCAAUUCCUCCCUCCCCAUCCUUUCUUUU